CGCGGCGCGGGCCGCGGCCGGGGCGGAGGGCGGCCUCGGCGGGGCAGCUCCCCCCCUUCCCCCCCUCCCCACACACAACCGCCCCCGGUAACGGCCGCCGCGCGCCGGGGCCCAGGGCCAGGUCCCCCUUCCAAAAUGCCUUUGCUUGAAAAGCAAGAAAAUGGUGAGCAGGUGUUGAUGAAAAAUGAAAGCUAUUUGCAAAUCUUGAAAAAUAAGGAUCAGAGAAAGAGACUUGUCCAUGAAAUCUGUUCCUUUUUAGACAGCAGUCAGUCUGUCCAAGAAAUUAAUGCUUUGAGGACAGAAAAUAGGAAGCUAAAAAAUGCGAACUCAAGACUGCGAUAUAAAACAAAAGCAGAUAAGAGGAUACCAAGGGAACAGACCAAACAUGCGAGCACUCAGACAGAGGGCGCCUACAGAGCGGAAGAAAGGACUGUUGCAACUCAGACAGGUGAAGAAAGCUCAAGGAUGACUUUGGAUGGUGGAAGAGCAGUUUAAUGUCAACGUGACUUGUUGCUGGACAACAUAAUGUUUGACAUUGUUUCAAAUUUCAGUCUUAAGAAUAUAUUCAAAUAUAUAUAUUUAUAUAAAUAAAAAUCUAUUUAAUCUUACUAAUAAUUAUUCU
rnacentral:lncRNA from 1 species